rnacentral:rRNA from 1 species
UACGUAGGGACCAAGCGUUGUUCGGAUUUACUGGGCGUAAAGGGCGCGUAGGCGGCGUGUUAAGUCAGCUGUGAAAUCUCCGAGCUUAACUCGGAACGGUCAGCUGAUACUGAUGUGCUAGAGUGCAGAAGGGGCAAUCGGAAUUCUUGGUGUAGCGGUGAAAUGCGUAGAUAUCAAGAGGAACACCUGAGGUGAAGACGGGUUGCUGGGCUGACACUGACGCUGAGGCGCGAAAGCCAGGGGAGCGAACGGG